rnacentral:rRNA from 1 species
AACGAACGCUGGCGGCAUGCCUAACACAUGCAAGUCGAACGAGACCUUCGGGUCUAGUGGCGCACGUGUGCGUAACGCGUGGGAACCUGCCCUUAGGUUCGGAAUAACUCCCCGAAAGGGGUGCUAAUACCGGAUAAUGUCCUCGGACCAAAGAUUUAUCGCCUUUGGAUGGGCCCGCGUUGUAUUAGCUAGUUGGUAGGGUAAAAGCCUACCAAGGCGACGAUCCAUAGCUGGUCUGAGAGGAUGAUCAGCCACACUGGGACUGAGACACGGCCCAGACUCCUACGGGAGGCAGCAGUGGGGAAUAUUGGACAAUGGGCGAAAGCCUGAUCCAGCCAUGCCGCGUGAGUGAUGAAGGCCUUAGGGUUGUAAAGCUCUUUUACACGGGAUGAUAAUGACAGUACCGGGAGAAUAAGCUCCGGCUAACUCCGUG